UAAACCUAUUUCGUGACAUUUAUAGAGCAAUUGUUUUAUUUUUAGGAUAUAAGGGGAGACUAAUUUCAUUUUCAGGUGGUUGCCUACUACUGCCUGCAGACAGCUUUUAGCAUCUGAGAAGAUUAUGGCCUUGGGGAUUUUGUGCGAUUCAGCAUAUGCCAAGGCUUCCAUAAGAGCAAUGGAUUCGCCAGUGAAGACAGAAGCCUGAGGUGGACAUUUAUAUGGUAGGAGGAUACGAUACCUAGGGAUCCAUACCGCGGCUCCCACAUAGCUUCCAGGUCCCAAUUUUGAGGCGUCAGUAAAAAUGGAUGCCUCAUCAGACAGGGCCUGUAAUCUUGAAGUGAGCGGGUGAUCCGAUAAGGAACAGGCCUUAAAUACGUAUCGGUCUGACAAAAGUUGCCUUCGAAUGAAGAGGGGCGGAUCCACACACUCAACCUGUAAAGCAUUCUUGGGGUUCGAGAAUAAAUGAGGCAUAAUCAAUUUGGCUACGAAUCAGUGCAUUGUAUAGCAGCUUUUGGCAGUAGGGGUGUGCACCCCACCAGACUCCAGAAAGGGCGCGGAGAACAUUGAUACCUCUCUCGCAUUUACCAACUACAUAGUUAAGGUGAUGAAUACCAGACAUUUUGGAGUCCAAAAAUACACCAAGAAACUUCACAAAGUUGCAGCUAGGAAUAAUUUGGUCCUCAUAUUGAAGGUUGACGGCAGGAAUAGUUUGCCGACGUGUGAAGGUCACUGUACAGCUUUUAGAAGGGGAAAGAGAUAGACCAUGAUCAUCUAACCAGUCAUUCAGAUAUGCUAGAGCCUCAUUGAGUCUGUCAGCUGCUUCGUCGGUAUGAUGAGCUGUGGAGUAAAUGACCAAGUCAUCUGCAUACUGGAGGAUGCUGCAGAAAGGGGAGACAGAUUGCUCUAUAUCAUAGGUAUAUAGGUUAUAAAGAAUGGGACUAAGGACAGAUCCUUGAGGAAGGCCUCGCCAUACAGUAAGCGGAGAGUACAUAGCAUUCCCAAACCGAAUUUUAAUCGUUCUGCCCAUGAAUAGCUUAAAAAUAAUGUCGACUAUUCUCGAUGGGAUGCUCAGCUGACGCAAUUUUGCUCUGAGCAGAGGUAGUUGGACAUUAUCGUAUGCAGCGGAGAUGUCAAGAAAGCAUCCAACUAGUUGCUGUUUUUUAGAGAGUGCCAAUCUGAUAUCAGAGGUGUUCGAAGAUUUUACCCAUAGUGGCAGAUAGAGCUAUGGGGCGAUAAGAAGUGGAUUGCUGCGGGUCCUUGCCUGGCUUCAAGAUUGGGAUUACAAUCUGUGACUUCCAAUCCUCUGGGAC